CAGAAAUUGAGAUACUGAUACCAGAAGAUAAAACGACACCAAACCAAGAAACAGAAGGAUCACAGCCUACAGAUGAAGACGGUUGCUUUGGAUUAAUUCAUCGCACCAGCUCUGGGUUGAAAAGAUGCCAGGAGAAGAAGAUGAAAAUGAAUGAUUUAAAGUCAGAACAUCUUGCAACUGAAGGAACAAAUACAUUAGUUACAGCAACCACAUCUAGAAAACAUGCAGAGGAUUUAAUCAGGAUUGAACAAGAGAAAAUAGUGACAACAGAGACUCUUGAAACAGAAUGUACAACAGAAAUUGAGUUACAAACUCCUGAUGAUAAAACACCUGUGGAGAGAACAGAUAUAACACGUGAAGAAAUACACUCAGAAUAUAAUGAUGUAAGUUCAGAACACCUUGCAACAAAAGGUACGAAUGAAUUUGUUGCAUCAACAUCUUCAAGAACACAUGAACGUACUGCCAUAGUGACUAAACAUGAGAUAGAAAUGACAACAGAACUUACUGAAACAGAAUGUACAACAGAAAUUGAGAUACUGAUACCAGAAGAUAAAACAACACCAAACCAAGAAACAGAAGGAUCACAGUCUACAGAUGAAGACGGUUGCUUUGGAUUAAUUCAUCGCACCGGCUCUGGGUUGAAAAGAUGCCAG
ensembl:lncRNA